GAUGAACGCUGGCGGCGUGCCUAAUACAUGCAAGUCGAGCGAACAGACGAGGAGCUUGCUCCUCUGACGUUAGCGGCGGACGGGUGAGUAACACGUGGAUAACCUACCUAUAAGACUGGGAUAACUUCGGGAAACCGUAGCUAAUACCGGAUAAUAUAUUGAACCGCAUGGUUCAAUAGUGAAAGACGGUUUUGCUGUCACUUAUAGAUGGAUCCGCGCCGCAUUAGCUAGUUGGUAAGGUAACGGCUUACCAAGGCAACGAUGCGUAGCCGACCUGAGAGGGUGAUCGGCCACACUGGAACUGAGACACGGUCCAGACUCCUACGGGAGGCAGCAGUAGGGAAUCUUCCGCAAUGGGCGAAAGCCUGACGGAGCAACGCCGCGUGAGUGAUGAAGGUCUUCGGAUCGUAAAACUCUGUUAUUAGGGACGAAAAAAUGUGUAAGUAACUAUGCACGUCUUGACGGUACCUAAUCAGAAAGCCACGGCUAACUACGUG
rnacentral:rRNA from 1 species